rnacentral:lncRNA from 10 species
AUUCAUUUGCAUGUAUUCAUGUAUUCAUUCUCUUCUUUCGUUGCAUGAUUUCCCGUAAGCUGCUUUGAUGUAACGUUGCUGCUAUUACCUGGGGCUCUGGGGUCAGACCCAGACCCUGUGGAUUUGUCACCAGUUCUGUCUUUUUCUGGACGUGUAGCAUCAAUUUUUUUUUUUAAAUCUCUCUGUGCCUUGAUUUCUUCAUCUCUACAAUGGGGAUUUUAACAGUGUCUGCCUCAUGGGAUAGUCGGAGGAUUCAGUGAGAUAGUAUAUUUAUGAAGAGUUUAGCAUAGUCAUGAAGUAAAAUCUGAGAAGUGAUAGCGUCUCAUCCUCAGAUCGGAUGGGAUCCUUUGGGCUCUGAGACUCUGUGAUCACCUUUCCUGGGCAUGCUUCUUCUUAGCCAUUUGGGGACAACGCCUCUUUGGACAGUUGCCCUACAAAGCAUCAUUUCUUCCUCUGAGAAACUGGGUUUGGUGUCCUGAAUUAUUUGGCUGCUUUCAAUCUCUCCCACCCAGUGGAGCACAGCAGUGUCCACACCACAGACCCUGUCCAUGCCACCUGGGUGGGUAGUGCUGCAAUUAGGGACCUCUCACCCUGACCUUUUGAACGUCACUCUCCCAAUUUUAAUUUUUUAAAGAUCUUCUCCUUUUCCUUUUGCUUGAGUGGCAAAUGCUUCUCUCCUACCACUUACUGCAAGUGCUCAGAACUUUUCUCCAAGUGGUGGCCAAGGCAGUCUGAUGUGAGAUUCAUCUUCAUGUAAAGCCAGUACUCAGACACACACACAGCACAUGCAAUGUCAGGAAUGUCAGUGCUUUACACUUAGCAUCUCACUUAAAUCUUAAAACCACCCCCAAGAAAUGGGCAUUUUAUUAAUCCUGUUUUUUAAAGGGAAGAAAACAGGCUUAAGAAGUCAAGAAACUUUUCCAAAAGCCACAGAGCUAAUAAGUUUUAGGUCGGAUUUGAAGUAGACAUCCCACCCCAGAACUGAGGUUCUUAACUAUUGUGUUGAACUGCCUCUUUAUAACAAUUAGCUUUUUUUCAAACCUCCUAGUUUAACGAAGGAGGCAAUAACUUUUCAGAGAGGGGCUGCGUCCUGCCCGUGUCACAGAGAGAGAGAGAGGUGGAUACAGAACCAAGACUACAAUCCAGGUCUCACAGUCUUGCAUUUCCCCCCCAUGACACAAUUUUGUAGUUAAGUUCCAAAGUGACGCACCUUCUGCUUGCAGUCAACAUCUUCCAGUAUUUUCCUAGAUUACUCCAGACCACAACAGGCCCCCUUCCUUCUGUGAUCUACUCUCUGUAUGCCCUAACAGGGCUAACCUCAGAUCCAUAAUCUUUUUUUUUUUUUUUUUUUUUUUUUUUUUUUUUUUUUUUGUGUUUAACUCAUCUGCAUGUAUUUUCUUUUUUGCAUUUUUUUUUAAUGUUUUUGCUUUCUCCUGGUUCCUCAGGAACAGAGUAGUAUUCAGAGCAAUGCUAGCUGUGAUAACAAAUAGAUCUGAAGUAUAUAUUAGUUGCAACUCAAUAUAAGUUUGUUCUCAUUUAAUAGUCCAAAGAGACUCCAGGUGAGUGAGGGAG